GAUGAAGAACGUAGUGAAAUGCGAUAAGUAAUGUGAAUUGCAGAAUUCAGUGAAUCAUUGAAUCUUUGAACGCACAUUGCGCCCGCCAGUAUUCUGGCGGGCAUGCCUGUCCGAGCGUCAUUUCAACCCUCGAACCCCUCCGGGGGGUCGGCGUUGGGGACCUCGGGAGCCCCUAAGACGGGAUCCCGGCCCCGAAAUACAGUGGCGGUCUCGCCGCAGCCUCUCCUGCGCAGAAGUUUGCACAACUCGCACCGGGAGCGCGGCGCGUCCACGUCCGUAAAACACCCAACUUCUGAAAUGUUGACCUCGGAUCAGGUAGGAAUGCCCGCUGAACUUAAGCAUAUCGAUAAGCGGAGGA
rnacentral:misc_RNA from 1 species